rnacentral:lncRNA from 1 species
UUGACAUUUACCUAGGCACAGCUCACAGGCAUGAUAAUGACUCUCAUAUGUGGACCCCACAAGUAGGAGUAAUUUUGACUCUUGUAACUUGCUUUAGAAACAUAAGUGAUGUCUUAGAUCUCUUUCUGGCGAAAAGGUCACAGAAGAUUAUAACAGCCUCAGAUAAUUUGCAGCCCUUGGCUUGUACAGAGAGUGUCAGAACAGAACCCAGCAGAAAGGAGAAAUUGUGAGUCUCAUAUGUACACCCAGCUGACUGUAAGGACUGUCACCAUCUUACAUACAUGAAGCCAACUGUCACACAUGAAAAGAGGACAUGUGUGGUAUUGUAAAUCUCAUCUCGAAUAUUCUCUCAGUGUGACUGUGAUAUAAAUCUUUGCCAAGCAUCUGUGUGAUUUGACUCUCCAAACUGGUUCCAGCCCAUAUAUACGGGAUUGUGAUCUCUACCUGGGCCAACCUCUAGAUAAUGUGACUCUCCUGCCUGGGCCCUUCUCUCAGUAAGGGUUGUGACAUAUCACUGGAUCUAACACCCAAGUGAUGUUACAUUCUUGCCUGGACCAUGCACAGAGACAUCAUUGUGACAUAUCACUGUGUCCACCACUUAGGUGAUGUAACUCUCCUCUCUGGAAUGGACCCUGAAUACGGAGUGGUAGUGACAUCUUCCUAGGCCAGACACACAGGUGUUGGUACUCUUUUUCCAGGGCUAUGUUUCAAGGAGGGCAUUGUGACAUAUCUCUGGACCUAUCACCGAGGUGAUAUGAUUCAACGCUUGGGCCUCACCGACGUAGAACAUUGUGACAUAAAAGUUAAACCUGCACCAAAGGUGUUGUAACUCUUUCACCUUGGUCCUGUCCUAAGGGAGCCCUGCAACAUAUCUCAGGACCCAGCACUCAGGAACAUUGUGACAUCGUUGGACAUAGCAUCUAGGAAAUGUGACUCUUCUCUCCUGCCUAGGUCCUGCCCACUAAAGGAAUUGUGACAUACCACUGAGUGCAAAACCUAGCCCUGUCUACAGUGGACAUGGUACCACAUGACUUGAGGCUGUAUCCAGGUGAUGUGACUCUUCUGACUUGGCCCUGCCUGCAAAGGAAAUUAUAAUAUAUCCUGAGCUCAGAAUCCAGGCGAUGAGACUCUCCUGCCUCUUUUCUGCCCACAAGUGAAAUUGUGACUUAUACCUGCGUUCAGCUCACAUGCACAAAUAUAACUAUUAUACCUGGACCCAGAAAGGAGAGAUAUUUGGACUCUUAUAGCCAGUCCUAUGGCCAUAAGUAAAGUAAAGGGUCCCCUGUUUGUAUAAAGCUCACAGAGGAUUAUGACACUCAGGCACAUCAUAUAAAGCCUGAGUGGUACAAAGAGUGUCAUAGCAGGGAACAGCAACCAGGUGCGAUUGUGACUCUUGGAUGCUCACCCAGCUGACCCGAUUGUCAUUCUCUCACAAGAACAGGGCCUACAUACAAGGCCAUGACCAUAGAUGAAAUUUUGACAUACGUGGACCAUACACCUAAGCGAAGGUGCCUGGGCCUGCCUACAAAGGGCACUUUUACGUAUUACUAGGACCAGCACGCAGGUGAUAUUGCACCAUAAACCUGAGACCAGUAUUCAUGCCUGAAGCCAGGACAUGUUCAGAAUGGUGACUCUCAUCUCUGGGCCUUUCCACAGGUGUUUUUGUGACAUAUACCUUUGCCCAGCUCCUGAGUGAUUUAAUAACUCUUCUUAGGUCUAGCACACACAUGAGAUUUUGACAUAUACCAGGGCCAGGCUCCUUAGUGAUUUGACUCUCUUGUUUUAACAGUGUCCUCAGCGGGGGAUUGUAGCAUACCUUUAUACCCAGCAUCUAGGUUACAUGAUUCUCCUCUCCUGCCUGAACCCUGCUUCCUGUGGAGAUUGUAGCAUUUCUAAGCACUGCUUCCAAAUGAUAUGACUUUCUUACCU